rnacentral:rRNA from 1 species
GAUGAACGCUGGCGGCGUGCUUAACACAUGCAAGUCGAACGAAGCACUUUAACCUGAUUCUUCGGAUGAAGGUUUUUGUGACUGAGUGGCGGACGGGUGAGUAACGCGUGGGUAACCUGCCUCAUACAGGGGGAUAACAGUUAGAAAUGACUGCUAAUACCGCAUAAGACCACAGAGCCGCAUGGCUCGGUGGGAAAAACUCCGGUGGGAUGAGAUGGACCCGCGUCUGAUUAGGUAGUUGGUGGGGUAACGGCCUACCAAGCCAACGAUCAGUAGCCGAACUGAGAGGGUGACCGGACACAUUGGGACUGAGACACGGCCCAAACUCCUACGGGAGGCAGCAGUGGGGAAUAUUGCACAAUGGGGGAAACCCUGAUGCAGCGACGACGCGUGAGCGAAGAAGUAUUUCGGUAUGUAAAGCUCUAUCAGCAGGGAAGAAAAUGACGGUACCUGACUAAGAAGCACCGGCUAAAUACGUG